CCUUUGUUCAAUAGCUAUGGAAAGUAUGUUGUGAAACUUUACUGGAUGGGUUGCUGGAGAAAGAUAACAAUUGAUGACUUUUUGCCUUUUGAUGAAGAUAACAAUCUAUUGCUUCCAGCUACAACUUAUGAAUUUGAACUGUGGCCAAUGCUUUUGUCUAAAGCUAUUAUCAAGCUGGCAAAUAUUGAGUAUGUAAUGACACUAUCACUCACAUGAAUAAAAAAAGCAAACAAAAACAUUAA
rnacentral:lncRNA from 1 species